rnacentral:rRNA from 1 species
GAUUAACGCUGGCGGCGUGCAUAACACAUGCAAGUCGAACGAUGAAACUUAAAUGAUUUCUUCGGAAUGAACUUAAGUGGAUUAGUGGCGGACGGGUGAGUAACGCGUGAGUAACCUGCCUUACACAAGGGGAUAGCCGUUGGAAACGACGAAUAAUACCCUAUGAAACUAUCACUUCGCAUGAAGCGAUAGUCAAAGUGUUAGCGGUGUAAGAUGGACUUGCGUCUGAUUAGCUAGUUGGUGAGAAAAAAGCCCACCAAGGCAACGAUCAGUAGCCGGCUUGAGAGAGUGUACGGCCACAUUGGGACUGAGACACGGCCCAGACUCCUACGGGAGGCAGCAGUGGGGAAUUUUGCACAAUGGGGGAAACCCGGAUGCAGCGACGCCGCGUGAUUUAGAAGGCCUUCGGGUUGUAAAAAUCUUUUGUAUAGGAAGAAAAUGACAGUACUAUACGAAUAAGGUCCGGCUAAUUACGUG